CCUACGCGUGGCAGCAGUGAGGGAUAUUGGUCAAUGGGGGAAACCCUGAACCAGCAACGCCGCGUGAGGGAAGACGGUUUUCGGAUUGUAAACCUCUGUCCUCUGUGAAGAUGAUGACGGUAGCAGAGGAGGAAGCUCCGGCUAACUACGUGCCAGCAGCCGCGGUAAUACGUAGGGAGAAAGCGUUGUCCGGAUUUACUGGGUGUAAAGGGUUCGGAGGCGGCUUUGAAAGUCCGAAGUGAAAUCCAUGUGCUGAACCAAUGAACUACUUUUGAAACUGCAGAGCGUGAGUGGAGUAGAGGUAGGCGGAAUUCCCGGUGUAGCGGUGAAAGGCGUAGAGAUCGGGAGGAACACCAGUGGCGAAGGCGGCCUGCUGGGCUCUAACUGACGCUGAGGCACGAAAGCGUGGGUAGCAAACAGGAUUAGAUACCCGAGUAGUC
rnacentral:rRNA from 1 species